GAUGAACGCUAGCGGCAGGCUUAAUACAUGCAAGUCGUGGGGCAGCAGGUUUGUAGCAAUACAGAUGCUGGCGACCGGCAAACGGGUGCGGAACACGUACAGAACCUUCCUUGAGCGGGGAAUAGCCCAGAGAAAUUUGGAUUAAUACCCCAUAGUAUAAUGAAGUGGCAUCACUUUAUUAUUAAAGAUUUAUCACUCGAAGAUGGCUGUGCGGCUGAUUAGGUAGUUGGCGGGUAAAGGCCCACCAAGCCUGCGAUCAGUAACUGGUGUGAGAGCACGACCAGUCACACGGGCACUGAGACACGGGCCCGACUCCUACGGGAGGCAGCAGUAAGGAAUAUUGGUCAAUGGAGGCAACUCUGAACCAGCCAUGCCGCGUGGAGGAUGAAGGUCCUCUGGAUUGUAAACUUCUUUUAUAUGGGACGAAAAAAGGCUUUUCUAAGUCGUCUGACGGUACCAUAUGAAUAAGCACCGGCUAACUCCGUGCCAGCAGCCGCGGU
rnacentral:rRNA from 1 species